GAAAAUCAUCAUUUGAAAUUUUAUUUCCAUUUAGCUGCCAUUUUCAGAUUAUCAGCUUUUAUUUUCGCAAUAAUUCUACUAUUUUUAACGCAUUCAAA
ensembl:ncRNA ZK945.12 ncRNA